GAAAAAUAAAAAUAAAAAUCCCUGGUUGAAAGUUGAAACCCGAGAGUUUGUGGGAGUUACGGAUUUACAGUUCCGAACCGCAGCGAGAGAGAAGAAGAAAGAGCAAAGAGUUUUGAUCGGAUCUCGGCGAGAAUGGCGAUGAGGAUGAGGACUUUCUACAACGAGAUAAAGGGGAUGAAAGUGAAGGAAGUGCCGGCGCACCUGAAGCCGAUGAUGUCCAUGGAUUACGUCAAGAGUGCGGUGAAGAGGGGAUUGGAUAACUACAACGCAAAGUACAUCCAGACUAACUCCAUCGAGCCGCUCUAUCACGUCUGCUUCGGCGGCAUGCUUUUCUCCUACCUCGUCGCUCUCCCCGAGGAGCGCCGCCAUCUCGAGCAUCAGCAGCAUGCCAAGGACCACGGCGGCCAUUGAUCUGUUUCCGUUCCGAUCCUCCAAGAUUGUGCAAAGCUUAUGAGCAAUUGAUUUUGUGAAGGAUAAGAGCUGAAGUCUACUGGUUGCUUUUGAUUCUAUAAUUUCUUUGUCACAGAUACUCAGAGAGUCUGAAUGCAAUUUGAUUCAUAACAAAAUAAGUUUGUGAUAUUCUUUGAAGAUUUUUGGUUUUUGUCACUCUCAUAUUUUCAUUGUAUUAAUAAUCUCUAGGAAAAAGAAUGAUAUUUUUAGUCCAUGAAUUGUGACAUUUAUACAGUAAUUUUCGUA